GGUGAACGCUGGCGGCAUACCUCAUACAUGCAGGUCCAGCGAACAGACGAGCAGCUUGCUCCUCUGACGUUGGCGGCGGACGGACGAGUAACACGUUGAUAACCUCUCUAUAAGGCUUGGGUAACAUCGAGACACCGUAGCUAAUACCUGAUAAUCUAUUGAACCGCAUGGUUCCAUAGUGAAAGACGGUUUUGCUGUCCCUUCUAGAUGGAUUCGCGCCGCAUUAGCUAGGUGGUAAGGUAACGGCUUACCAAGGCGACGCUGCGUAGCCGACCUGAGGGGGUGAGCGGUCACACUGGAACUGAGACACGGUCCAGACUCGUGUGGGAGGCAGCAGUAGCGAAUAUGCCGCAGUGGGCGAAGGCCGGACGGAGCAAGGCCGCGUGGGUGAUGAAGGUCUUCGGAUCGUAAAGCUCUGUGAAGCGGGAGGAACACAUGUGUAAGCAACUAUGCACGUCUUGACGGCACGUAAGCAGAUAGACAAGGCGGACCACGGG
rnacentral:rRNA from 1 species